rnacentral:rRNA from 1 species
UAGUUAGCCGGUGCUUCUUCUGCUCCUACCGUCACUUUCGCUUCUUCGGAGCUGAAAGAGGUUUACAACCAAGGCCGUCAUCCCUCACGCGGCGUCGCUGCAUCAGGCUUUCGCCCAUUGUGCAAUAUUCCCC